GCUCUUGGGGACAGUAGGUAAACAGCCAGAUGCAAAAGGAUAAAUGAUGGUCUCAGGGGACCCCGGGUCAAGUCUCACUCAGCAUCUGUGGCUUUUCUCAGCAUUUCUCGCCCCACCCAUGCACUAAACCUCUGCAGCCCAGGGGCUGGGCUUCCUUCCCUUCCUUCCCUUCCCGCAGCUUCUGACCCCACCUCAGCUAUUUGGCUCGGCAGUGUCUCUCCAUCCUCAGCUCCUCUCUUUCCUCCCUCUCUCCCCUUCCUUUCUCAGUUUUCCCUGGCUCUCUCCUCUCAUGGCCAGGCUUAUUCUGCUGGCCCAGGUCAGGCUGGGCCCUUCCAGACGCCUCUGGCUGUGCUCUCCCCCAGUCUAUAGUAAACACCCUCCUCCACACACAGGAUCAGUCCUGUCCCCGCUUUCAUUCAGUACGAUUACACUCACUUGAGGUAACGCUGAACGAUCAGAUCCAGAGACAGACGGAGAACGGUACAGGGGAGUGAGAGUCCUCCCUCCCCUACCAAGAGUACUCCUGUUCUUCUAGAGACAAUCUACAAGGCGGCUGUAAACAGGUAAAUUUAUCAGAUUUCUUUGUCCCGUUGUUGACAGAGUCCCUGCAGGGCAGGCAAACAGCUACUGUCUUCAGCUGGCCUCCCCCACUCCCCAGCAUCUGUCUGAGCAGUGCACGGAGAGUGGAAACGGAAGCACAGUGCUCUUCCCACAGGCCGGGUGGGGCUGUCUGCUUCCAUCAAGGGUCUAAAUGAGCAGCCCUGGGAGGUGAAAUAAGAAACCUAGACUGGAAACCUUUCGGAAUGGAUGCCUAAAAAGGAUGGGAGGAGGGAGCAACCUGUGGUCUUAACUGUGCUGGUGUGGAGCAGUUCAUGGGUCCUGGCAGGAAAAGCAGCCACGUGUCACGGCCAGGCCCAUAUACUAUGACCUAUGAACCAAAGGUCAGAGCGUAGGGUGUUCUGGGAAAAUUCUUCACCACUGAGGGAGACACCCUUCUCUAAUUGGAACACUCUUGUACCAGCUGUGCUGGUGGCCUUGACUCCUUCCUGACUAGGCCUAGUGGUCGCCACCACCUCCUCCCACCCAUGGCUCUGCUCGUGGCCGUGCUGUAGCCUGGCUUGCCCUCACUAGGGAUGCUUUGUUUGCUUCUUACUCAAGCAGUUCAUCAGACAAGCAACUUCACAGCACGGAGCCUCUCCUGGGGAAGGACAGCCACAAGAAGACAGGAGUCAAGCCUGAAGCACUAGAUACCUCAGUGAGUCACGCAGGCUCAAUCUCUCUGUAAGCCCCUUCAGCCACCCAGUUCCCCUUCCUGGCUUUUCUUUGUGCUUUUGUCUUAUGGCUGCCUCCUCCUGCUGCACAGGGUUACGGUUGGUAGAGAGGGAUUUAUUUCUGGCCAAGAACCCACCAUCACAUUCAGAAGUUAAGCUGACAUAUAAUGCAGCUCUCAGGAUCAUUUCAUUUUUUUUUUAAAUUAGAUUUAUGCACAUAAAUGUUUUAUCUUCAUGCAUGUGCACCACUUGUGUGCCCUCAGGAGUCAGAAGAGGAGGUUAGAUCUCCCGGGGCUGGUCAUGAGCCACCAUAGGUUCGGGGAACCUGGGUCCUCUGCAAGGUGGCAAGUGCUCUAACUACCGAGCCACCUCUCUAGCCCCCAGGGCCAUUCUCUUUUAUAUGCACAUUCCCAGCAACUGUAGAUGGAUCAAAUUGUCAUUCUGUCUGUCUGCACCUGUUUCUGUUUUGAUUAUUGAUGUUUACGUGUACAUCUCUUAGUUAAAAGUCAGUCACUUGUUUAAUAUUAAGGACACAAACUAUACCAUCUCUGUCAGGUACUGGGGAUGAAAAAGAUGCAGUAACUGCUUAGAUUACUGAGUGUCACUCCUGUUCUCAGAAUUGUCCACAGAGCUCACUUCAUCCAGGACACCUCAGAUACCUUACAGUAUAACACCGGGGCACAGAGAAGUUCAGUCAGUUAUCCAAAGCCACCUAGCAAGGAAGUGACAAAGUGAGAAUGCCGGCCCAGCUGCCUGGUGCACCCAGCUCUCAUCCUCCCUCUACCUGAUAGGGCAGCCAGGCCACGCCCAGGGGAGGAGGAGAGUGGGAAGUGGAUGUGUGGGUCUGAGGAAUCCGGGGAGGUGACAUCUGGUGAGUAUCAACAGAGAAGGGACACUCUGCACAGAAAGCAGCAGAGGGGUGUGGGAAAUCACAAACACUGCAGGUGUGCUCCUUGUGUGACUACCGGGACACAGCUAGGGAGGAGUCUGGGGAUGGAGGUGGGCAGAUCCCGGACAUCCUGAAUACCAAGGUGCGAGACUGAUUUACCCGGCACACUCCAGCAGGACAUUUGGUGUCGGCAAGCUGCUUCUGAGCCAGUGCCCAGACUGUUGGGGAGGUAGGCACAGGCGAGGCUGGGGCAGGGAUGGCAUCUGGUGCAAGAGGACAGGUAAAGAAGAAACACAAGGAACCAUGGCCACUGAAGGGGCUGCCACCUGUCACCCCCUCCACUCCCUGACCCUCCCUGAGAGAGGACACUGAGGCAGAGAAGAUCCUCUUCAAGGCCCAUCUUAAGUAACAUGCUGGGUGGGAAGAUGGCUCAGUGGGUGAGCAGGCUGGAUGACCUAAGUUUGAUCCCCUGGAGCCCUGUAAAGAGCUAUGUUUGAUGGCCUGUAUCUGUCAUCCUAGGACUCCUUCAGAGAGGAGAGAGGCAGAGAAGGGAAAAAUCACCUAAAAACUCCUGGGACAGUCAGUCUGGUGUACACAGCACACGUGCACACACACACAUGUGAGCACACACACUGAAUUAAUUUUGUUUAAAGUACCUUGCCUCCCUGUGUGUGACCAAGGCUCAUAAAGUUCCCAGAUCCUACUGGGAUGGAUCACACCUUCAAAGAACCCCUUUCUCCUAAACUAAUCCUGUAGUCUCCUGGUGACCCCCGUGGGUCUGAGAACCAGGAGCUCUCGGGUCCUGCUGGGUUUCUCCACUUGGCCUCAGGCACAGUGACCUCUCAAAGUUUACUUGCUGACAAAGACACAGUCGUUACUGUUAAGGGUGCCAAGGAAGAAGGGAUAUAACACUUAGGGUGGAGAGUCUAUGUCCAGGUUACCACCUGCCUGUGCUUUUAAUCCCUUGACCAGCUAACCUCCACCCUGAAGCUGGGGUCCAACUGCAAGGGCUACGUAUUUCCUUCUGUGCUGAACCUCCCAGUGUCUCACACAUGCUAGGCAAGCGCUGGACCACAUAACUACACUUCUAGUCAUUUAUAUGAUUUUAUGUAUGUAUGUAUGUAUGUAUGUAUGUAUGUAUGUAUGUAUGUAUGUAUUGUUUUUUUGAGGGUUUCUGUGAAGCCUUGGCUGUCCUGAAACUCUGUAGACCAGGCUGUCCUUGAACUCAGAGAUCCGCUUCUCCAUCCCAAGUGCUGGGAUGAAAUGUGUCGCCACCACUGCCUGGCUUUUUUUUUUUCUUUUUUUUUUAAAUAAGGUCUCAUGUUGCCCAGGCUGGCCUGGAACUUGCCAUAGGACCAAGGAUGGCACAGAAUUCCUGAUCCUCCUUCCUGAACCUCUUAAGUGCUGGGAUUAUAGGUACAUACCGCCAUGCCCAGUUUACGUGGUGCAUGAAGACUGAAUGCAGGGAUUCAUGAUGCUAGACAGCCAUUCCUCCAAGCUGUACGCUUAGCUUCUAUUUAUUUAUUUUGAGAUGGAGGCGUGCUAAGUCACCCAGGCUGGUCUCAAAUUCAUGAUCCUCAUUCCUCAGCCUGAGAUUAUAGGCAUACACAGCCUGUGGCCGGCUGAGGUCCUCAAACUCUAGAGACCUCUUACCUCAGGCCACCGAGGGAUACCAGGAUCCUGCAGGGAUGUUAAGAGCCUGGCUUGUAACCAGAGAGGUGUCUGCUGAUACAGGGGCAGGUGCCUUGGGCCUGCAACUCUGAAAUGCUAGACAGGCUACAGGAUUGCUCUGGACCACUGUUUUACUCAUCUUCAAAAGCGAGAGGGCUGAAGUAUCCGUGUGGAGUUGAGGCUGUCUGCACACUGAGCCGCGUCGGCCUGAUCAUUCUGCUCUGGCGUAGGCGGCCUCACCUCAUGGAAACACAGCAGCUACAGCAGACUCCCAUCACUCAUGGCGAAUAUAAGCUACAAGGUCCCUCAAACACUGAUGAUUCAACCAUUAUCCCAGGCCCAGUACAAGCAAGGUGAAGGUCUCAAUGUUCCAGCCACCCAUCAGUACAUGACCUUCUCUCACGGGCUUUUCUAUUUAGUGAGGCUUUGCACUGAACAGGAUGGAUAGCACUGGGGUUCAUUUCUGAGUGAGCGUCUCUGAGGCCCUCUUUCUGUGAGGGUAUCCGGGUCUUUCUAUUCCCAGGAGAGAAGGCAGCUCUCUAGCACUCUCCAUGGGGCCCAUCGUCAUCGGUGAAAUCAACAGAGCAGAAAGAAGGGAAAAUAUGUCACCUUGUUGAUUAAAAAGGACCUCGUUCCUAGUAAGAGCCAAAAUAAGGCCAAGAGCUGCCUUGACCCACCUCAGCUGGGGACCCAGGCUGCCAGAUGAACCAGCUUUCUUAUCACGUGUGUAAGAGUGUCCAGAUGCUGGGCAUGUCAGUGAGGGAGAUAUUGGUGAAUGUGAGGAAUGGACCUAUGAGGUCCAACCACAUCUCCCUUGAGACAAGGGAGACUGAGAGAACGGGGGUUCUGGUGAAGUCCAGGCCUGACUCCCCAGGAGCUUCUUAUCAUGGGGUUCUUGGUAGACAUCACCCCAUCAAGAAUGCAGGUUUCCUGUCCCUCCCAGUGUAACUUCAUGAUUCAGGGUACUUACCACAUGCCACUAUCCAGUAGACCUGCGAGUCCUGGGUCUGGUGCAGGAUGCGGUAAGGGGCCACACGGGCGCUGGAGUCCAGCACCACAUCCAGGGUGCCCACAAGAAGACCUGUGGGUGGACAGAGAGGUGGAAGGUGAGAGCCCGGGGGGCCAAGCCUCGCCUGAGUCAGCUCACACGGGACCAACUCAGGAAGGCCUGGCAUAGGCAAGGCCGCACAGCACUGCCAGACUUCCAACUACUCACAGGCUUCCAGCCAGUCUCUCAAAACUUCUCUUGUUUCUUCUAAAGGCAUCUAUUUAUUUUCUUGGUUCAGAAAUAUUCACAGUAAAGGACUUUUGACACAGGCCCUCACUAUGUAGCCUCAGCUGGCCUGGGACUUAAGUAGAUCAGGCUGGCCUUGAAUAUAAAGAUCUGUCUGCCUCUGUUUCCUGGGGUUAAAGGUUUUUGUCACCAUGUCUGGCUGCAGUAGAUGUUUGCUUCAUGGGACUCAAAGCUCAAAGAAUUUUGGGAGGCUCUUUUUGCAGAAAAAUGAAAAUUAGGUUUGGUUGAUUGAUUGAUAUGGUCUCACGAAUCCUGGGAUGGCUUCAAACUCAGUAGCCAAGGAUGACUCUGAGCUGAUCGUCCUGCCUUUACCCUCCCUGGUGGUGGCAUUAUACAAAUGUGCCACUACGCCUGGUUUAUGUGGUGCUGGGGAUGGAACAGAAGUGUGUGUGUGCUGGUCGGCUCCCAAAUUAGGUGUUAGGUCAAACCUCUCUUUAAUGUGUGUGUCUCGGACCCAGGGUUUAUAUAAGGCAGGCAGGCAUCUUGGCGGACCUCUAUCCCCAGCUAAAUAUUUUCUUUAAAGUGAGAAAAUGUUAUAAAUUAAAAUAAUAAAACACCA